rnacentral:rRNA from 1 species
GACGAACGCUGGCGGCGUGCUUAACACGUGCAAGUCGAACGGAAAGGCCUCUUUCGGGGGGUACUCGAGUGGCGAACGGGUGAGUAACACGUGAGUAACCUGCCCUUGACUUUGGGAUAACUUCAGGAAACUGGGGCUAAUACCGGAUAGGAGCUCCUGCUGCAUGGUGGGGGUUGGAAAGUUUCGGCGGUUGGGGAUGGACUCGCGGCUUAUCAGCUUGUUGGUGGGGUAGUGGCUUACCAAGGCUUUGACGGGUAGCCGGCCUGAGAGGGUGACCGGCCACAUUGGGACUGAGAUACGGCCCAGACUCCUACGGGAGGCAGCAGUGGGGAAUAUUGCACAAUGGGUGGAAGCCUGAUGCAGCAACGCCGUGUGCGGGAGGACGGCCUUCGGGUUGGAAACCGCUUUCGCUCAUGACGAAGCUUUGUGUGACGGUAGUGGGUAAAGAAGCACCGGCUAACUACGUG